rnacentral:rRNA from 1 species
AGUGAACGCUGGCGGUAGGCCUAACACAUGCAAGUCGAACGGCAGCACAUUAUGAGCUUGCUCUUACGGGUGGCGAGUGGCGGACGGGUGAGGAAUACAUCGGCUUCUACUUUUUCGUGGGCGAUAACGUAGGGAAACUUACGCUACUACCUCAUACGACCUACCGCUGAAGUCAGGGUUUCUUCGUACCUUGCGCGCUUUCAUGAGCCGAUGUCGGAUUAGUUAGUUGGCGGGGUAAGUCCCACCAAGCCGACGCUCCGUAGCUGGUCUGAGAGGAUGAUCAGCCAAACUGGAACGGAGACACGGUCCAGACUCCUACGGGAGGCAGAAGAGGGGAAUAUUGGACAAAGGGGGCAAGCCUGAUCAAGCCAUACCGCGUGGGUGAAGAAGGCCUUCGGGUUGAAAAGCCCUUUUGUAGAGAAAGAAAAGCAGCAGGGUAAAAACCCGAUGUUCUGACGGUACCCAAAGAAUAAGCACCGGCUAACUUCGUG